UAUUCUGUUAAUUUCCAGGGAUCAACUCGACGCAGUCAUCUGUCUCACUCAUAGCGCGCUCCUCUUGUCCAGAAGUUGUUUGAGCCUUCCAUCUUGUAGCUUCGACAGCUUUAGAGACGUGUCGGUAGCGGAGUAAUUAUCAAUUCCAGCGUGUCUGCAAAUGGACUUCACUGAGUCAUCUGCUUUGGACAAAUAUGAGUGCGUUCUUCUCAGCCGAGAAGAGGGAGUCGUUUGAGGCAGUUUGUUUCACUGCUCUUACGCGUUUGUCGCAAUCUGUACGCUUGUCGGUAUCGCUCAUGGGUAGCAGUGUAUUUGUUCAUUUGAGCUGGCAGGUCCGAAUCAUCCGGCUCGCUCGUACCGAGUUCUUCUCAGCUAAACUUCUUGCUAGAAUCUUGCAUUUUGGUUUCACUGGUCUUUUACACUGCUCGCAAUCUUGACACUUGUUAUGCGAGCCUCUUAUUUGCCAAAUCGGUUGACUCGAGAGAAGGAAGAGGAAAGAAAAUUGCUGGAAUUAUACAAGACGAGCAUCGAUCAGACGCUGUGGCACUACUUUUUACACUUAUUAUACGAGCCUCUUAUUUGCCAAACCGAUUACCUUCGAAAAAGAAAGAGCAAAGAAAAUUGGCGAAAUUAUGCAAGAUAAACAUCGAUCAAGUUGAGAAAGUGAAGUUAACCGGCUUGGACUCACACCAAGGUCACAAAGAAGAAGAUCACGAUAAGUACGUUUCUCUGUUGGUCUUUUGGCUUUCAGGGUACUUCAUGGUUAAACAGAAAGGUUCUACUAUGACAUAAUCGAAAACAAUCUGCUGACUGAAAGAUCCGAGUCUUUUAAAAAUAUCCGCCAACUUCUGUAGAAGAGCAAAGAUACCAAGAUAAGCGAUAUUUUCAUACUACGACAAAUAAUAUUUUUAGCCUUUAUAAAGAGAUCGAAUCGAUACAGGUUUACCUGGAAACCUAAAUAAAAAGACAAAAUUGAUAAAAUUUUGAUAAAAUUGAUUAACAAAGUGCUGAAUUUUAAAAGUACUUGCCCCUAGAAAAUUAGCAAAUCUGACAUCCUUCGGCUCAAACAGGUUGUGUCCGAUUGAAACAAUUCUCCAGACA
rnacentral:misc_RNA from 1 species